GAGGGAAAGGCGAAAAGAACCCCGGCGAGGGGAGUGAAAAAGAACCUGAAACCGUGUACGUACAAGCAGUGGGAGCACAGGUUUACCUGUGUGACUGCGUACCUUUUGUAUAAUGGGUCAGCGACUUAUAUUCUGUAGCAAGGUUAACCGAAUAGGGGAGCCGGAGGGAAACCGAGUCUUAAUUGGGCGUUAAGUUGCAGGGUAUAGACCCGAAACCCGGUGAUCUAGCCAUGGGCAGGUUGAAGGUUGGGUAACACUAACUGGAGGACCGAACCGACUAAUGUUGAAAAAUUAGCGGAUGACCUGUGGCUGGGGGUGAAAGGCCAAUCAAACCGGGAGAUAGCUGGUUCUCCCCGAAAGCUAUUUAGGUAGCGCCUCGUGAAUUCAUCUCCGGGGGUAGAGCACUGUUUCGGCUAGGGGGCCAUCCCGGCUUACCAACCCGAUGCAAACUGCGAAUACCGGAGAAUGUUAUCACGGGAGACACACGGCGGGUGCUAACGUCCGUCGUGAAGAGGGAAACAACCCAGACCGCCAGCUAAGGUCCCAAAGUCAUGGUUAAGUGGGAAACGAUGUGGGAAGGCCCAGACAGCCAGGAUGUUGGCUUAGAAGCAGCCAUCAUUUAAAGAAAGCGUAAUAGCUCACUGGUCGAGUCGGCCUGCGCGGAAGAUGUAACGGGGCUAAACCAUG
rnacentral:rRNA from 1 species